rnacentral:piRNA from 1 species
UGUUAUGACCUUCAUCUUGCUGGUAACAG